CUACGGGUGGCAGCAGUCGAGAAUCUUCCACAAUGCCCGAAAGGGUGAUGGAGCGACGCCGCGUGAUUGAUGAAGCUCUUCGGAGUGUAAAGAUCUUUUCUGAAGGACGAACUUCGACGGUACUUCAGGAAUAAGGGGCUGCUAAACUCGUGCCAGCAGCAGCGGUAAUACGAGUGCCCCAAGCGUUAUCCGGAUUUAUUGGGCGUAAAGCGUCCGCAGGUGGUUUAAAAUGUCUUACCUCAAAUCCUAAGGCUUAACCUUAGGACUGGGUGAGAAACUUUUAAACUGGAGGUUGGGAGAGGUCAGUGGAAUGGCUGGUGUAGGGGUUAGAUCCGUUAAUACUAGCUGGAACACCAAAAGCGAAGGCAACUGACUGGAACACACCAGACACUCAUGGACGAAAGCGUGGGGAGCGAACGGGAUUAGAUACCCCAGUAGUC
rnacentral:rRNA from 1 species